GCGAUAAUUGUGUAGUGGGUUAUCUUGUGUUUGCUGCCAAAACAUCCAAAUCGGAGUGUUUUGGGGCAGCAGGUGACUCGUGACACGAGUCGGUGAGUUUCGGGACACUUAGUGGGUCCCGACGGCGUUCCGGUGUGGUUUUCGGGACUUCCGGUGAGUUACGGUGAUCGGUUUUGGAAAACCGAUUACGGGGAUCUUGUGUGGGGGGUUUGUGAGUUUCGUGCUUUGGGUUAGUGGUUUGGAUACUGACCUGGUGGAUCUUCUUAGGUCCGGUAGACGCUGUGCGUACCCAGUGUUCCGAC
rnacentral:lncRNA from 1 species